rnacentral:rRNA from 1 species
UACGUAGGUGGCAAGCGUUGUCCGGAUUUACUGGGCGUAAAGAGCGCGCAGGCGGUCGGAUCAGUCGAAUGUGAAAGCCCCCGGCUCAACUGGGGAGGGUCAUUCGAUACUGUCCGACUCGAAGGCAGGAGAGGGAAGCGGAAUUCCCGGUGUAGUGGUGAAAUGCGUAGAUAUCCGGAGGAACACCGGUGGCGAAGGCGGCUCUCUGGACGGUGACUGACGCUGAGACGCGAAAGCGUGGGGAGCAAACAGG